AGUGAACGCUGGCGGUAGGCCUAACACAUGCAAGUCGAACGGCAGCACAGUAAGAGCUUGCUCUUACGGGUGGCGAGUGGCGGACGGGUGAGGAAUACAUCGGAAUCUACUUUUUCGUGGGGGAUAACGUAGGGAAACUUACGCUAAUACCGCAUACGACCUACGGGUGAAAGCAGGGGAUCUUCGGACCUUGCGCGAUUGAAUGAGCCGAUGUCGGAUUAGCUAGUUGGCGGGGUAAAGGCCCACCAAGGCGACGAUCCGUAGCUGGUCUGAGAGGAUGAUCAGCCACACUGGAACUGAGACACGGUCCAGACUCCUACGGGAGGCAGCAGUGGGGAAUAUUGGACAAUGGGCGCAAGCCUGAUCCAGCCAUACCGCGUGGGUGCAGAAGGCCUUCGGGUUGUAAAGCCCUUUUGUUGGGAAAGAAGAGCAGCAGGUUAAUCCCCCGCUGUUCUGACGGUACCCAAAGAAUAAGCACCGGCUAACUUCGUG
rnacentral:rRNA from 1 species